rnacentral:rRNA from 1 species
GCAAGUCGAACGGUAGAGGGGGCAACCCCUUGAGAGUGGCGAACGGGUCAGUAAUAUAUCGGAACGUGCCCAGUCGUGGGGGAUAACGUAGUGAAAAUUACGCUAAUACCGCAUACGAUCUAAGGAUGAAAGCGGGGGAUCGCAAGACCUCGCGGGACUGGAGCGGCCGAUAUCAGAUUAGGUAGUUGGUAGGGUAAAGGCCUACCAAGCCAACGAUCUGUAGCUGGUCUGAGAGGACGACCAGCCACACUGGAACUGAGACACGGUCCAGACUCCUACGGGAGGCAGCAGUGGGGAAUUUUGGACAAUGGGCGAAAGCCUGAUCCAGCCAUUCCGCGUGCAGGAUGAAGGCCCUCGGGUUGUAAACUGCUUUUGUACAGAACGAAAAGGUUUCUAUUAAUACUAGGAGCUCAUGACGGUACUGUAAGAAUAAGCACCGGCUAACUACGUGCCAGCAGCCGCGGUAAUACGUAGGGUGCAAGCGUUAAUCGGAAUUACUGGGCGUAAAGCGUGCGCAGGCGGUUAUAUAAGUCAGAUGUGAAAUCCCCGGGCUCAACCUGGGAACUGCAUUUGAGACUGUAUAGCUAGAGUACGGUAGAGGGGGAUGGAAUUCCGCGUGUAGCAGUGAAAUGCGUAGAUAUGCGGAGGAACACCGAUGGCGAAGGCAAUCCCCUGGACCUGUACUGACGCUCAUGCACGAAAGCGUGGGGAGCAAACAGGAUUAGAUACCCUGGUAGUCCACGCCCUAAACGAUGUCAACUGGUUGUUGGGUCUUAACUGACUCAGUAGCGAAGCUAACGCGUGAAGUUGACCGCCUGGGGAGUACGGCCGCAAGGUCGAAACUCAAAGGAAUUGACGGGGACCCGCACA